AGGUGUAAAGGUGGAGACACCAAAGCCGAGCAUUACUAAUUGCCCGUUCACUUUCCUUA
rnacentral:rRNA from 1 species